GUGGGGAAUAUUGCGCAAUGGGCGAAAGCCUGACGCAGCGACGCCGCGUGAGGGAUGAAGGUUUUCGGAUCGUAAACCUCUGUCAGAAGGGAAGAAACUACAUUGUGCUAAUCAGCAGUGUACUGACGGUACCUUCAAAGGAAGCACCGGCUAACUCCGUGCCAGCAGCCGCGGUAAUAAGGAGGGUGCAAGCGUUAAUCGGAAUUACUGGGCGUAAAGCGCACGUAGGCUGUAGUGUAAGUCAGGGGUGAAAUCCCACGGCUCAACCGUGGAACUGCCGUUGAUACUGCACAACGUGAAUCCGGGAGAGGGUGGCGGAAUUCCAGGUGGAGGAGUGAAAUCCGUAGAUAUCUGGAGGAACAUCAGUAGCGAAGGCGGCCACCUGGACCGGUAUUGACGCUGAGGUGCGAAAGCGUGGGGAGCAAACAGGAUUAGAAACCCGUGUAGUCC
rnacentral:rRNA from 1 species